rnacentral:rRNA from 1 species
AGUACGAGCGGACAGACAGGGAAGCAUGCUCCCGGAUGCAGCGGCGGACGGGUGAGUAACACGCGGGUAACCCGCCUGUAAGACCGGGACACUCCCGGGAAACCGGGGCUAAUACCGGAUGGCCGCCCGAACCGCAUGGUUCAAACAUAAAAGGUGGCUUCGGCUACCACUUACAGAUGGACCCGCGGCGCAUUAGCUAGUUGGUGAGGUAACGGCUCACCAAGGCAACGAUGCGUAGCCGACCUGAGAGGGUGAUCGGCCACACUGGGACUGAGACACGGCCCAGACUCCUACGGGAGGCAGCAGUAGGGAAUCUUCCGCAAUGGACGAAAGUCUGACGGAGCAACGCCGCGUGAGUGAUGAAGGUUUUCGGAUCGUAAAGCUCUGUUGUUAGGGGAAGAACAAGUACCGUUCGAAUAGGGCGGUACCUUGACGGUACCUAACCAGAAAGCCACGGCUAACUACGUGCCAGCAGCCGCGGUAAUACGUAGGUGGCAAGCGUUGUCCGGAAUUAUUGGGCGUAAAGGGCUCGCAGGCGGUUUCUUAAGUCUGAUGUGAAAGCCCCCGGCUCAACCGGGGAGGGUCAUUGGAAACUGGGGAACUUGAGUGCAGAAGAGGAGAGUGGAAUUCCACGUGUAGCGGUGAAAUGCGUAGAGAUGUGGAGGAACACCAGUGGCGAAGGCGACUCUCUGGUCUGUAACUGACGCUGAGGAGCGAAAGCGUGGGGAGCGAACAGGAUUAGAUACCCUGGUAGUCCACGCCGUAAACGAUGAGUGCUAAGUGUUUAGGGGGUUUCCGCCCCUUACUGCUGCAGCUAACGCAUUAAGCACUCCGCCUGGGGAGUACGGUCGCAAGACUGAAACUCAAAGGAAUUGACGGGAGCCCGCACAAACGCUGUAGCAUGUGGUUUAAUUCGAAGCAACGCGGAGAACCUUAACAAGUCUUGACAUCCUCUGACAUUCUAGAGAUAGGACGUCCCUUCGGCGCAGAGUGACAGUGGUGCAGGUUGUCGUCGUUUCUGUCAUGAGAGAUGGGUAAGUCCGCAACAUCGCACCUUGAUGUAGUUGCAACAUUAAUUGGGCCUCUAGGUGACUACCGUGACA